GACGAACGCUGGCGGCGUGCUUAACACAUGCAAGUCGAGCGGAAAGGCCACUUCGGUGGUACUCGAGCGGCGAACGGGUGAGUAACACGUGAGUAAUCUGCCCUUGGCUUUGGGAUAGCCACCGGAAACGGUGAUUAAUACCGGAUACGACCACUCCAGGCAUCUGGUGGUGGUGGAAAGUUUUUCGGCCAGGGAUGUGCUCGCGGCCUAUCAGCUUGAUGGUGAGGUAAUGGCUCACCAUGGCUUCGACGGGUAGCCGGCCUGAGAGGGUGACCGGUCACACUGGGACUGAGACACGGCCCAGACUCCUACGGGAGGCAGAAGUGGGGAAUAUUGGACAAUGGGCGGAAGCCGGAUCCAGCAACGCCGCGUGAGGGAUGACGGCCUUCGGGUUGUAAAACUAUUUCGGUAGGGACGAAGCGCAAGUGACGGUACCUACUAAAGAAGCGCCGGCCAACUACGUGC
rnacentral:rRNA from 1 species